rnacentral:rRNA from 1 species
UACGUAGGGGGCAAGCGUUGUCCGGAUUUACUGGGCGUAAAGCGCGCGUAGGCGGAACUUCAAGUCCGGUCUGAAAGCCCCCGGCUCAACCGGGGAGGGUGGCUGGAAACUGGGGUUCUUGAGGGCGAGAGAGGAGGGUGGAAUUCCUGGUGUAGCGGUGAAAUGCGUAGAGAUCAGGAGGAACACCCGGGGCGAAGGCGGCCCUCUGGCUAGACCCUGACGCUGAGGCGCGAAAGCGUGGGGAGCGAACAGG